rnacentral:rRNA from 1 species
AGAGUUUGAUCCUGGCUCAGAUUGAACGCUGGCGGCAGGCCUAACACAUGCAAGUCGAGCGGAUGAAAGGAGCUUGCUCCUGGAUUCAGCGGCGGACGGGUGAGUAAUGCCUAGGAAUCUGCCUGGUAGUGGGGGACAACGUUUCGAAAGGAACGCUAAUACCGCAUACGUCCUACGGGAGAAAGCAGGGGACCUUCGGGCCUUGCGCUAUCAGAUGAGCCUAGGUCGGAUUAGCUAGUUGGUGAGGUAAUGGCCCACCUAGGCGACGAUCCGUAACUGGUCUGAGAGGAUGAUCAGUCACACUGGAACUGAGACACGGUCCAGACUCCUACGGGAGGCAGCAGUGGGGAAUAUUGCACAAUGGGCGCAAGCCUGAUGCAGCCAUGCCGCGUGUAUGAAGAAGGCCUUCGGGUUGUAAAGUACUUUCAGCGGGGAGGAAGGCGGUGCGGUUAAUAACCGCGCCGAUUGACGUUACCCGCAGAAGAAGCACCGGCUAACUCCGUGCCAGCAGCCGCGGUAAU